rnacentral:misc_RNA from 1 species
AAGUCGUAACAAGGUUUCCGUAGGUGAACCUGCGGAAGGAUCAUUACUCUCCGGUCUUACGAGAUCGCGUCUUCAACUCGGCCGCAGGACCUCCACGCAAGCGUCUUGAGAAUGCGGCCGAGGCGAAGUAAACCCUUGCCUAUGAGUACCCUUUGUUCCCUCGGCGGGCACGCGCCCGUCGAUGGGCCCAACCAAAACCCCUUUGCAGUAGCAGUAUACCUCUGAUCGUGGGCAUUUGAAUCUUAACAACUUUCAACAACGGAUCUCUUGGUUCUG